GAUGAACGCUGGCGGCGUGCCUAAUACAUGCAAGUCGAGCGAACAGAUGAGGAGCUUGCUCCUCUGACGUUAGCGGCGGACGGGUGAGUAACACGUGGAUAACCUACCUAUAAGACUGGGAUAACUUCGGGAAACCGGAGCUAAUACCGGAUAAUAUAUUGAACCGCAUGGUUCAAUAGUGAAAGACGGUUUUGCUGUCACUUAUAGAUGGAUCCGCGCCGCAUUAGCUAGUUGGUAAGGUAACGGCUUACCAAGGCAACGAUGCGUAGCCGACCUGAGAGGGUGAUCGGCCACCCCGGAACUGAGACGCGGUCCAGACUCCUACGGGAGGCAGCAGUAGGGAAUCUUCCGCAAUGGGCGAAAGCCUGACGGAGCAACGCCGCGUGAGGGAUGAAGGUCUUCGGAUCGUAAAACUCUGUUAUUAGGGAAGAACAAAUGUGUAAGUAACUAUGCACGUCUUGACGGUACCUAAUCAGAAAGCCACGGCUAACUACGUG
rnacentral:rRNA from 1 species